GGGAACUUCGAUCUUUGAUAGAUAUCAACCAAGAAGCAAGGGUUAAAUUAACUAAACAUAAAUUAAAAUGAAGCAAGUAAACAACUCCAAAUAUCUCCUGAGAAGUGAAAUAAACUUUACUACUUGGACUCGAUGCUCAACAUUAAUUUUAAUGACAAUUUUGCAGAAUCAUUUUGUGACAAGAAGCCAAUCAACUCCAAAGCUUCCGACUGAAAAUAUGGGAAUCACGUUAUACUUUCCAGUUUCCUCCCUUAUCAUUGCGGACAAAAAUAAUUGCCAGUUUCUUAAUACAUUCCAAAACAUAAGUUAGUCUCCAAACCCUGGAGAUACAUGUUACAGCAGUAGAAUCCACCAUCUGCUGUCAAACAAGUAGGAAAAAUGUAACUUUAAUCUUCAAGCUCAAUAAUUUUAACCACGGAUGCAUCUCCAACUUUCUGGCAAACAACUACUCUGUCUCGUGACUUUAUAACUCCAGAGGCCUUUCCAUGAUCGAGAGCUACCUUUAAGACCGACUCAUUUGUUGCAUUUGUAGAUUCCGCCUAUAAAGCCAUAUAGGAUAUCAGAUUUCAUAAUUGUAUUCAAUGAAUGCCACGACGUACAGAAAUCAGUUUGGAAACCAGGUUCUCUAGGCAGGAAAAAUGCAGAACUAAGGUUAAAUUUAGCCAAGGUUGUGCCCAGAUCAGGAUGGCCACAAAACUUCACACGACGGUUUUACUUACAAUGAAGACAAGAAUGAGUUAUUCAGUUGCUAGAGGCUCAUGAUCAUUGCAUUCAAUAACAGCAAAAACUAUUCCUACAAGGAAAUGGGAGUACAAAUCUCACCCUGGCAAGCCUAGACUCACUAAUCACAAGUCUAGCCUAGACUCUCUAUUGUAACAUAAAAAUAAUUAGAUUCCAUUUUAGUUUUAACUCUGACAAUCAAAUAAAACCGCCAUGACCAACCCAAGCCACGCCAUAAUUUGUUUAACCAAGAAAAGAAGGCCAUAAGUUCUAUAAAUACUAUAAUAAUAAACAAAAAUAGCCAUCACAUAAAGAUAGAAACCUCGCUCAUCUUCCAAGAAAGCACCGAACUGCAUGAAAAUAAAAUAAACACUUACAGGAUGUCGUGGAUCAGCAAGCAUAGGGAAGAGACCUCUAACAAUGAGUGAUUGCCUUGCCUGAAUAUUGAUAUGUAGACAACAAAGUUCCAUUAGCUAUAAUAUCAAGAGGGUGGCAUGAAGCAGAAGCAUCAUAUAAUACUAUAGCUACAGCCUACAAGCAACAUUAAUAGGACAGGUAGGCAAAACAGACAAUUCUCAAAUGACAAAAGCAUGAUGCGAUCAACUAAAAAUCUUUCUAAGAUCCUAUAUAUAUUUUGCUAAUUUCAUGAAUAGAAUAAAGUGAGUUGGAAGACGGUCAUUGUGUUGUGUCACUAGAUGAAUCUCCAGAACACAAGUAAAAAUGCUUAAUUAAUUUGUAUGCACCAUUAAUACAUAUGUAUAAAACAAUGAACACACAACUUCAUCCAGUAAGCAUAAAACCCAAAGGAGUCGAGAGCAUACUUCAAACGCCCCACUGAAGCUCCAUCUCAGUUGAUUUGUCUUGAGCCGAGGGAUGACAACAGACAGAACUGGCAUUGUUGGCCUAUACUUGGCAAUCAAUCUUGCAGCCCUUCCUGAUGAAGUGAAGCAAAUAAUGACAGAUGCCUUCACUUUAAUUGCUGCUCUUACCGCAGAGGAAGCAAUUGAUUCCAAGUGGGUCAUUGGCUCUCCAACAUAUUUGACAGUUUUCUUGAAAUACAUGUCUUGAUUAAAAACCUUUUCUGCCUCAGCACAAAUUUUACCAACAGUAGAAAUGGUUUCAACAGGGUACAGUCCACGAAGAGUCUCAGCACCAAGAAGAAUUGCAUCACUUCCAUCCAACACAGCGUUGGCAACAUCAGUAGCUUCUGCACGAGUUGGUCUCAGGUUGCCAGUCAUACUGUCCACAACACGGGUAACCACUGCAGGCUUGCCAACCACAUUGCAUUUGUAAAGGGCAGCUUUCUGGAACAAGAACACCUUCUCAGGAGGGAGGUCUAUCCCCAAAUUCCCACGGGAAAGGAUAAUGCCAUCAGCUUCUUGUAAUAUCUCAUCAAAAUGGGUUAAUCCUUCGACGUUUUCAAUCUUGGCAAAAAUUUGAGUCUGAUAGAGGUCACCCAGCUUAGAGAGGCACUCACGGGCCUGCCGCACAUCUUCUGCAUGUCGGGUAUAGGACAACGAGAGGAAGUCAAUUUUGUUUUGGACUCCCCAGGUACUUAUAACCUCCUUAUCUUUAUCAGAAAGCGUAGGCAGGUCAAUACGAAUUUGAGAAGCAUGCAGAGUGAACAAUGACCCUGCCAAAGUUGCAGAGUUCUUUAUCACACAAAUCACAUCGCUGUCCUUCACCUCAGAAACCUCCAGCCACACAGAUGUAGUCUCACUUCCAGUAAAUAGGUAUUGACCAACAAAAAUGGUGUCUCCCGGUUUCACUGCCUUAGAUAGCCCAUCAAAAUUGAUGGGCAGAACUUCUGAUGAGGCUUCUUUUUCUUGAUUUGGUGUUAGAACAACAAGACCAUCAGCCAGGAGAGAAAUGGAUUUCUCACUUUUGUUAACGACCUGCAACUCAGGGCCCACUGUAUCCAGCAUUACAGCACAGAGCUUCUUAGUGUUUUUAACAGCCGCCUUCAAGUUCUCCAGCGUCUCCUGGUGAUACUCCGAGUCACCCCAAGAAAAAUCGAACCGAGCCACAGACAUUCCAGCCUUGAGGCAGCCAGAAAUAACAUCAACGGAUCGAGACUUAGGACCUAGAGUCCCCACAAUCUUCGUCAUUGCUGGAAAGAAACUAGCUUUUGAUGGCUCCAGGAUUGAAGCCAUCCUUAUCGGCUCCUCGAGAAGCAAAUGACUCGCAUGCAUCUUCGCGGAUUAAUAACGAAAUAAAUAACAAAAAUACAACAAAAAAAUGGAAUUGGGUAAGAACAAAAUUGAACUGAGAUUUAGUGUUUGGCGUGAAUCGAGCGCAGCAGCUGAAGCUCUUGGCUUUUGAUUUGCUUAUAGUCCCUCCUGACCUUCGAAUAUGCUCUCGCGUAAAUGCUGCUUUUAAAAACCUUGAAAACCUGAUAUUACUAGAAACAGAGCCUUGUAAGAA
rnacentral:misc_RNA from 1 species